CAAAACAAUCAAACAAUCAAACAUCCAGACCCAGAUCCUGGAGAUCGCUCGGCACCAGACGGACACCAGCAGAUACAGGAAGCAGCGCCUUGCUCGGCGGCAUUUCCUGUGUCAGAGGGAAACCUUUUUAGGAUUUAACCUCAGCAGUGACAUAAUCUACAACAUCAAAUCCCUCGGCUCCAUCAGCAGCGAUCUGAUAGACUGUAAUCCUGAGUGAAAGUUGGACUUUAAUUCCUGUAAUUGUGCUGAAAGCUCCGGACAGACAGCGUCGGCCUUUUCCACCGAGAUCAAACUUAAGAACCUGAUAAUAUUUUUUACAUUUUGUCAGAAGAUUUACAAAACAGAAGUAUUACCAGAGCAAGUAGGACGAGCCUCUACAGUAAUGUGACGUUGACUCCUGAAGCUGAAGGCCUUUUGUCACAACUUUCCCCUGAGCUACGUUCAAAUGAGCAGAUUUAAUGGCUCCUGACCAUAUCCAGGUCCCACGGGACCUCUUCACAACGGGGACUCUCGGGGAGCCACAGGAAUCCUUUCAGGACCAUCAGGCCUCAAAACCAAACACACAGAAGCCCGCUGAAGGACUCUGGACCUCGUCACAGAACCAGGACCUGAGUCAAAGGUCUCUGCAGCAGCAACAACAACAACAACAACAACAACAACAACAACAACAACAACAACAACAACGACGGCUGCUGACACCAUGAGAUCAGAAACGGAUCAUUUAUCUCAAUAAAUAAAAAUAUUUUCAAAUUUUAAAACAUUUUCAUUCUGCUGCUUUUCCUCUGGUUUAGAAAUCUUCCACUUCCUCUGACUAAAAAUUCACAGUGUCACCAUCGAAUACCAAGUUCCUCCUCAACGGUCAGCUGUCCGUCCUUCCACUUCACUGUUGCUGGGAAACAGAGGUUAAUAUUUCUCAUCACGUCUAAGUGUUUUAUUCCUCACACACUCCACCUCUGAUGCAGGUUUCCAGAUUCAGCUUUAAAAUCUCUGGUUAUGAAUAAAGUUUUUGCCUUGAAAAACGUAUUUUUGUGUUUUAAUAAUUUCCUACUUUGCUUGUCGUGAAUAUUUAAUUCAUUUUAGAGUCAGAAAGAUAUCUGACAGGGAUUAUAUGUGUUUUAUUUUGAAGUUACAGGAAGUGUAAAGUUGUGUUUCUAUCAUACGGUAGUUACCAUCAUGUUUUUAUUAUUAAUUAUUCAUCAGUUUCGAGUUUUACUUUAAUUCAUUUAUUGUAUUUUUUGAUAAUAUUCUCUUUUGUUAGUCAUUAGUUUCUUUAUAUUAUUUGCUUAAUUAGCAUCGUUAGCCUGGUUAACUAGUAUGCAUGAGGUGAUUAGAGCCACAGUCCACGG